rnacentral:lncRNA from 1 species
UGCUUUCCAGGUGUUCAACUGCAGUCAGUUUUGGCUGAUGCUCCUGCUACAGGGUGAGGUACAUACUGGCCUCUGUGCUGCCCGUACCUGUUGGAUUCCUCUCUGUUAUUCACACAACAUAUUUUCAUCACUAUUAGGGAUUUGAAUCUGUGCUUCUCAAGAUUUUACUGUGUUUAUUUACAUGCACUGGAGUGAGUAUCACGGCCAAUGUGGAUAGCAUUGUCACUCAUGGGUGGUGGAGAACCGGAGAAGGAAAUGCAGUGUCUUGCCAUCCUGCAACAGUUGCGACUUGUAGACAUCCUUGUCAUGAAGGUUUGUCUGAUGUGGAGUGGUCUUGUCAUCUCAAUCUGCAAGGGCAUGUGAACAAGAUAGAUAGGUCGAAAAUCUUGUAGGGAAGUGUAACAAAAGUUUGUGGUGCAAAAUUUUGGUACGCAUCUCAUGAAGCUUUUCCUUGCAGGCAUGUUUCUCGUGCUCCAUUCUUGACGGUGACAGGGAGGUAGCGGGCAUCCAAGACACUCAAAAGCCCGGAGAGAGAACGCAAUGCCAUGGCCAGCACAAAAGGCAGGCGAUGAAGAAAA